GACGAACGCUGGCGGCGUGCUUAACACAUGCAAGUCGAACGGAAAGGCCCUGCUUUUGUGGGGUGCUCGAGUGGCGAACGGGUGAGUAACACGUGAGUAACCUGCCCCUGUCAUUGGGAUAUCUUCAGGAAACUGGGGCUAAUACCGGAUAUGAUCUCCUGCUGCAUGGUGGGGGUUGGAAAGUUUCGGCGGUUGGGGAUGGACUCGCGGCUUAUCAGCUUGUUGGUGGGGUAGUGGCUGACGAAGGCUUUGACGGGUAGCCGGCCUGAGAGGGUGACCGGCCACCUUGCGACUGAGGGACGGCGCAGACGCGUACCGGAGGCAGCAGUGGGGAACAUUGCACAAUAGGCGGGAGCCUGAGGCAGAGACGCCGCGUGCGGGAUGACGUCCUACGGGUUGUAAACAGCUGUCGCCUGUGACGAAGAGGGAGUGACGGUACUGAGUAAAGAAGCACCGGCUAACUACGUG
rnacentral:rRNA from 1 species